rnacentral:rRNA from 1 species
UACAGAGGUGGCAAGCGUUGUUCGGAAUUACUGGGCGUAAAGGGCGCGUAGGUGGCCUUGUUAGUCAGACGUGAAAUCCCCAAGCUUAACUUGGGAACUGCGUCUGAUACUGCAAGGCUUGAGUUCGGGAGAGGGAUGUGGAAUUCCAGGUGUAGCGGUGAAAUGCGUAGAUAUCUGGAGGAACACCGGUGGCGAAGGCGGCAUCCUGGACCGAAACUGACGCUGAGGCGCGAAAGCUAGGGGAGCAAACGGG